rnacentral:tRNA from 1 species
GCCUGGGUGGCUCAGUCGGUUGAGCGUCCGACUUCGGCUCAGGUCACCAUCUUACGGUUUGUGAGUUCGAGCCCCGCGUCAGGCU